rnacentral:rRNA from 1 species
GAUGAACGCUGGCGGCGUGCCUAACACAUGCAAGUCGAACGAGGUAUUUUGAUUGAAGUUUUCGGAUGGAUUUCAAGAUACCGAGUGGCGGACGGGUGAGUAACGCGUGGGUAACCUGCCUCAUACAGGGGGAUAACGGUUAGAAAUGACUGCUAAUACCGCAUAAGCGCACAGUACCGCAUGGUACGGUGUGAAAAACUCCGGUGGUAUGAGAUGGACCCGCGUCUGAUUAGCUAGUUGGUGAGGUAACGGCCCACCAAGGCGACGAUCAGUAGCCGACCUGAGAGGGUGACCGGCCACAUUGGGACUGAGACACGGCCCAGACUCCUACGGGAGGCAGCAGUGGGGGAUAUUGCACAAUGGAGGAAACUCUGAUGCAGCGACGCCGCGUGAGUGAAGAAGUAUUUCGGUAUGUAAAGCUCUAUCAGCAGGGAAGAAAAUGACGGUACCUGACUAAGAAGCCCCGGCUAACUACGUGCCAGCCGCCGCGGUAA